rnacentral:rRNA from 1 species
AGCGCCGCGCAGGCGGUUUUUUAAGUUCUGAGGUGAAAGCCCCCGGCUUAACCGGGGAGGGUCAUUUGGAAACUUGGGGAAACUUUGAGUGCAGAAGAGGAGAGUGGAAUUUCACGUGUAGCGGUGAAAUGCGUAGAGAUGUGGAGGAACACCAGUGGCGAAGGCGACUCUCUGGUCUGUAACUGACGCUGAGGCGCGAAAGCGUGGGGAGCGAACAGGAUUAGAUACCCUGGUAGUCCACGCCGUAAACGAUGAGUGCUAAGUGUUAGAGGGUUUCCGCCCUUUAGUGCUGCAGCAAACGCAUUAAGCACUCCGCCUGGGGAGUACGGUCGCAAGACUGAAACUCAAAGGAAUUGACGGGGGCCCGCACAAGCGGUGGAGCAUGUGGUUUAAUUCGAAGCAACGCGAAGAACCUUACCAGGUCUUGACAUCCUCUGACAACCCUAGAGAUAGGGCUUCCCCUUCGGGGGCAGAGUGACAGGUGGUGCAUGGUUGUCGUCAGCUCGUGUCGUGAGAUGUUGGGUUAAGUCCCGCAACGAGCGCAACCCUUGAUCUUAGUUGCCAGCAUUCAGUUGGGCACUCUAAGGUGACUGCCGGUGACAAACCGGAGGAAGGUGGGGAUGACGUCAAAUCAUCAUGCCCCUUAUGACCUGGGCUACACACGUGCUACAAUGGGCAGAACAAAGGGCAGCGAAGCCGCGAGGCUAAGCCAAUCCCACAAAU